ensembl:lncRNA
CGCUCUCGCGGGGCCCCUGCCCGCUCGGGAGCGCUGGCCGUCCCCGCCCCCGCAGCCGCGGGGCAGCGCCCGAGGCGACGGUUGGGCCCGACGCCUGCGCACGCCGCUCGCGGGCCUUCCGCGCGGGGCGCGGCUGCGGGGCGCCCGUCAGCCCCCGCCGCGUGGGCGCGAGGAGGGCUUGGCCGAGGCCCGCCGUGUGAUCAGGCGUGUAGAUUAGAGAGCGCUCACGUCUUGGCUGGGCGAGAACAGUCUCUUAUAAGAAACAGAGGAUCUGAGAGGGCAGAGACUGCCAAGGUUUCCCAGGAGUGAGUGGGCACAGCAUGGACCCCUCGGAGCUGCUGGCAGAGGCCUGGACAUCGAAUGGCCGGGCUUUAGGAUCUGAUGGCCCCGACCACACCCUUCCACAACCAGCCAACUUGGGCACUGGUUUCUGGCCAAGGCUUUGUUUAAAUAAAGGGUUCCACAGCAACCCUCCCACCCACCAAAGAUAAAAAGGCUGAGAGACCACAAGGCCAUAGAACCUUCCCGUCACUGUGGGAGGUGGAAAAACUUUAAGCCAACUUCCAAACCUACCUGACGCUACACUGUGCAACUGAGGAGGAGCAUGCCGUUUCUUCUUCUUUCCACCUGAUUUCGGGAGCAAUUCUGGCAGACUUUACAUGUGUGCCUUUGGCCUUGCUGGGAAGUCUCUCCCCCUCACGCCUUCGGUGGAGAUCUGCCUGAAAGGAAAUCUGAAACUCUUCUGGGAGACCGAAUGGAGACUUACCCAGAUGGAGAAUGGAAGACACCAAGGCAGAGACUGUGGAGUAUGGGCAAGGAGAGUGUGGCUUACACUGUGAGCCAGGACCCAGGACCCUGACGCUCAGACCAUGCAAGAUACGGUGUACAGGGACCACGUUCCACUCAGAAGCCAGGUCCAGCCAAGCUGUACCGACAGUGCUAACUCGGCAGGAAUCACUGUAAAAACGAGAAUCAAUUACAAUGCCUUCCCCAUCAAAUUGUUUUAUUAGGUUAAUUAAACAGCUUAAAGACAAUUCAUUUGUUCGGUACCCUUCUAGAAAAUAUUUCAAGUUUUAAAUGAACUUCCAAUACGUAAAACAAAAUUACUUUACCAUAGACAAAUUUCAGAUCAAA